rnacentral:rRNA from 1 species
UACGUAGGGUGCAAGCGUUGUCCGGAAUUAUUGGGCGUAAAGCGUAUGUAGGCGGCCUUGCAAGUCAGUUGUGAAAGCCCCGGGCUCAACCCGGGAAGUGCUUCUGAUACUGCAUGGCUUGAAUACUGGAGAGGGUAGCGGAAUUCCUGGUGUAGUGGUGAAAUACGUAGAUAUCAGGAGGAACAUCGGUGGCGAAGGCGGCUACCUGGCCAUGUAUUGACGCUGAGAUACGAAAGCGUGGGGAGCAAACAGG